CGAGGCUGCGAGGAAAGAAUUUUAUUUCAAUGCUGUGAUCAGGGCAUCCUGUCAUCCUUGGACCAGCCACAGACAGACAACAAUCUCCCCCUGGAGUUCCUAACAACACUGGGUUCUAGGCUUGAAUCACAAUGAUGAGAGAUCUCAGUGUUUUUACUAAUCCACUGAGAUAGAAACUGCCAGCAGCCUCACUGUGAAUGCAGAAAUAGAGACAGAGAUAGCAUGUUGACUUGGUAGAUCUGGCAGCUGGAGACAAGAAGCAGAUGCCCUGGGUUGUGGAUGUAUGUCAAGUUACCAAGUGCACACCUCCAAUCAGCUAAUUUCCUAUGAACAAUAGAGUGGUACUCGUGUCCAAAAGAAUGGCUGCCAUCAGAAAGG